rnacentral:rRNA from 1 species
GACGAACGCUGGCGGCGUGCUUAACACAUGCAAGUCGAACGAUGAAGCCGGAGCUUGCUCUGGUGAAUUAGUGGCGAACGGGUGAGUAACACGUGAGUAACCUGCCCUUGACUCUGGGAUAACUGCGGGAAACUGUAGCUAAUACCGGAUACGACCCUCGGAGGCAUCUCCUGGGGGUGGAAAGAAUUUCGGUCAAGGAUGGACUCGCGGCCUAUCAGCUAGUUGGUGAGGUAAAGGCUCACCAAGGCGACGACGGGUAGCCGGCCUGAGAGGGUGACCGGCCACACUGGGACUGAGACACGGCCCAGGCUCCUACGGGAGGCAGCAGUGGGGAAUAUUGCACAAUGGGCGCAAGCCUGAUGCAGCAACGCCGCGUGAGGGAUGACGGCCUUCGGGUUGUAAACCUCUUUUAGCAGGGAAGAAGCGAAAGUGACGGUACCUGCAGAAAAAGCACCGGCUAACUACGUGUCAGCCGCCGCAGUAA